GGUCAUGUGGCUCAGGGGUUAAGCAUUUGACUUGCAAUCUGCAGGUCCUGGGUUCGAAUCCCGCCAUGUACCA
rnacentral:tRNA from 1 species